rnacentral:rRNA from 1 species
UGGGGAAUUUUGGACAAUGGGCGAAAGCCUGAUCCAGCAAUGCCGCGUGUGUGAAGAAGGCCUUCGGGUUGUAAAGCACUUUUGUCCGGAAAGAAAUCCUUGGCUCUAAUACAGUCGGGGGAUGACGGUACCGGAAGAAUAAGCACCGGCUAACUACGUGCCAGCAGCCGCGGUAAUACGUAGGGUGCAAGCGUUAAUCGGAAUUACUGGGCGUAAAGCGUGCGCAGGCGGUUUGCUAAGACCGAUGUGAAAUCCCCGGGCUCAACCUGGGAACUGCAUUGGUGACUGGCAGGCUAGAGUAUGGCAGAGGGGGGUAGAAUUCCACGUGUAGCAGUGAAAUGCGUAGAGAUGUGGAGGAAUACCGAUGGCGAAGGCAGCCCCCUGGGCCAAUACUGACGCUCAUGCACGAAAGCGUGGGGAGCAAAACAGGAUUAGAUACCCUGGUAGUCCCACGCCCUAAAACGAUGUCAACUAGUUGUUGGGGAUUCAUUUCCUUAGUAACGUAGCUAACGCGUGAAGUUGACCGCCUGGGGAGUACGGUCGCAAGAUUAAAACUCAAAGGAAUUGACGGGGUCAUAGCUGUUUCCU